UGGGGAAGGUGGAUUUAGCACAUGAUAUACAAAUACUCUGAUCGUGUUUUGAAAAAUAACUGCGGUGUAUUUAAGCCGUGGGUAUACGGUUUUAUAUUUCCUUGAAUGUUCUUUCUUUACGAUACCAAAUGGGACGAGAAAAUAGAAUGAAAUAAUGUCCCAUCUUUCCCCACUCUACCCUACUUUACUAAUUUAAUAUAUUAAUUUAAUAACAUUCGUGCUAUAAGCAUAUAUAAAGAAAGAAGAUCAAAGAAUUGGUAAGUUAAUUCACAAUAGGCAUUGUUACGUACACCAGUUAUUGUUUAGAUGACGACAUGAAUGUGACGUUACAAAGUGGUGAUGCCGCGACAGAAGUACCCACUUCAAAAUGGUACGUGACGUCACAGAGGAUCAAGCGUCCAGCCGCACAAUAUACGUAAGAAUAAAGAAAAGUCUUUAAAGCUGCAGAAGAAAAGCACAAGACGAAGAACAAAGA